CAUCCGUGGGGCAGAACCGCAGGUAGGGGGACGACGGGAAGAGAAGAGGCACAGUCCUCCGUUCCACCAGGCCUGCGUGCAUCCUGGGGGAGAUGGGUGCACGCCGCCCUGGGUGAGGUUGUGCAUGACCUUGUAUAGGUUGUUCUCGCGCCCUCUGCUGGCCUGCGGGUGCACGAGCAGGGAGGAUCCUAUAAAUAUUUAGGGGGCUGGGGAUUGGGUAAGUAAGGUGUACUGGGCUUAUUGAUUAGGGUGCUGGGGACUCAGUAAAGAAGGAUCUGGCCACCUCUGCUGGUCUGAAGGCAUACACACGUGGGCAAAGAGAAAAAUAAAUGGAGGAGGAAGAAGAGGAAAGGAAGGAAAGAAAAAAAAAGAGAGAAAAGAAAAGAAGAAAGAAAGAAACUCCCAGCUAAUUGAAACUUGGGUACUAUUUGCUGUUGAACUGCUGAAUUUGAACCAAAAUACACAGGUAAACGUGUAGGUAUUCUGUAGUCAUAUAAGUAACUAAGUUUUUCCACAUAGUAAAUAAAAUAUUUUCAACCCGAAGGAAGGUGUAGAACAUGGCAAACCAACACAUUUUAUUUCGAGUCCGUAUUAAUUAGGAAUGACUUGAUGAACAUUUUCAGAGGAAGCUUCUUAUAUUCAAAGACUACAGCUAUCCCUGGCUUAAUGAACUUUUUCUAGUCUCCUAUACCCUCCCAGUACCCAGGAGAUAUUUAUUUCCAUAAAUUCUGGAUUGACAGUUUUGAUUGCUCACCUCCUGCUUUGCAAUGUGAAAAUCAUGACCCAUACCUAAUUUCUAAAAAGAGUAAACCAGAAGAAAAUGACGUGGUGACCGUUUCUGAGCCCAGCUAUUCCAUAUGGAAUGCAGUGUAUGCAGUGUCCCAUGCCCUCCAUAAAACGCUGUUGAACAAAAUUGAAAUGGGAUCUAAAGAAGACAGAAAGCCAGACUGUCUUCUUCCAUGCCAGUUUGUUUAUAUGGUGGAUUAUAUUGGUGGAUUUUCAUAUGUUGAACUAUCCUGGUAUUCCUGAGAUGAAGCCUAUUUGUUCAUCGUGUAUAUCUUUGAUGUGUUUCUAGAUUUGAAUGUGUUGACCUACAAUGAUGUGCAUGUGAACUUUACUCGAGAAGAGUGGGCUUUGCUGGAUCCUUCCCAGAGGAUUCUCGACAAAGAUGUGAAGCUGGAAACCUACAGGAAUCUCACUGCUAUAGUACUGUAUUUUAGGCUACAAUUGGAGAGAUCAUAAUAUUGAAGAGCAUUGUCAAAGUUCUAGAAGACAUGUUCCAGAGAGAUGUGAGAUCACUAUGAAAGAGCAUCAUAAGUGUCACACAUGCAGCUAAAGUAGGAAGCUUCGCAUUCACAUCCUUAACCUGCAGCAUGAAGCAGAGAGUGGGAACUACAGAUGGGUGUACUGUUGAAACUAUCAAGCCCACCCCAAGUAACGUACUUCCUCCAAGAGUGCUGCAUUUCCUAAACAUUCACAAAUGAUACCACCAACUGAGAAGGAGUCAUUUCUCUGACUUCAAACUGACAUGUUUAAUUUCUGUUACAUAAAGAGAUUUUUAUUGAAGAAAAAAAUAUGUAGAUAAGCCUGUAGUUGCCUCAAACCCUGAGUUACAGGAAUGCAUGCCUACACAAGUAAAACAUUCUUGACUAAACAUAUAUUUGUUUAAGAAUUUGUUUUAA